UGGGGAAUAUUGGACAAUGGGCGAAAGCCUGAUCCAGCAAUGCCGCGUGAGUGAUGAAGGCCUUAGGGUUGUAAAGCUCUUUUACCCGGGAUGAUAAUGACAGUACCGGGAGAAUAAGCUCCGGCUAACUCCGUGCCAGCAGCCGCGGUAAUACGGAGGGAGCUAGCGUUGUUCGGAUUUACUGGGCGUAAAGGGCGCGUAGGCGGCCAGCGCAAGUCAGUUGUGAAAUCUCCGGGCUUAACUCGGAAAGGUCAACUGAUACUGCGCGGCUAGAGUGCGGAAGGGGCAACUGGAAUUCUCGGUGUAGCGGUGAAAUGCGUAGAUAUCGAGAGGAACACCUGCGGCGAAGGCGGGUUGCUGGGCCGACACUGACGCUGAUGCGCGAAAGCCAGGGGAGCGAAC
rnacentral:rRNA from 1 species